ACCGGAAGGAGCGGCAAUGGCGGCGCGCGUGCGAUUUAGAGGCCUAGCGGCGCGGGGCUUUUCGCGCUCAUUUCUUCGGCGAUAAGAAAUACCUCGAGCCGUGUACUCGACUUUAUUUACUUUUAAAAUUAAAUUAAUAGUAUCGUGCAACCUCGAAUGUGCGCUGUUUAGAAGUAGAUUCGUGAUAUAUACAGUUAGUUUGUUUCCCUCCCAUUGUUUUGUAGUUGGCCACACGUGUGUGCCCAUUGGAACUUCAUAGCGUGGUUGCUUAGUUUAGCCUUGUCAUGUAAAGUUUACGUAAAUAGUGUUAGAUGUAUAAAACAACAAUUCCGAGCGUCCUCUCAAACGGGCGCGGGGUGGUGCUGUUGCUGUGUUUACAGCCGUCGCUGUCCAUUCCACGUGCCGCUGACGAGGACGCCUUUACAUCGACACAGCCGUGCUUUUAGUUGCCACAACACGGUAACGCUUUAUCGCCCUAGGAGCGAGAUGAUAGGCGGCUUUCAAUCCCCAAUGGGGACUUGAACCGAUAACCCGAUUGCGUGGGUGGUGAAGUAUGGUUAUUGGCGGUGGUUACGUUCGGAAUGGUGCAGUUGCUGGUACAUGAACAUCGCUCUAACCCCAUGCGGUUUAUUUACCUUAUUAAUUGGCUGUGGCGGGUUUAACGACACAUUUACGUGAUCUAACGCCAUUAAACCUGUUAUGGAUGAUAUUAGUCGCGAAAGACUACGUGUAACUUUGUUUCUUCCUUGUGAUGGGACUUUGCAGGAUGAACGUUGAGAUGUAUAAGGGCACGGGGGUGAGCAAUACGGUCUGAAUUGGUUUGUAAUAAGGCAGGGCACUGAUACAGGGUUGACCGGUUUGCAUUAAUCGCUGCGAUGCCUCCCAUCGUAUUUGCCAAUCUGCCGCGUGGCUUUGUUAGAGGUCUGUGGCCCACUAAAGCUUUUGCGGAAAGAUCGAAGGCAAUGAGAAGAGGGAUCUUUCAAGCGAGCGGGUCCUUUCCACGAGGAUCGACCGUCGUGGUUUUGAUGGCGAUUCGUCUGGCCGCGUCUCAUCGUCUUCAUCAUCACCGGCAGCAACUUUCCUUCUGUGGGCAAGAGUCUUCCGAUGCAAGAAAAGAAAGAAAUGAAACAAGCAAGGACGUUGCAUGUGGUGUAGCGAAGCCACCCUGGAAAUGGGCUGGAGGAUUUGCGUGCAAUUGUGUUUUGUAUGCAGAAAGACCACACUUUUUUUAUUACAAACAUUUACUCCUUGUUUAGUUUUAGUCUUUGUCUUAAUUAAUAUCUGAAUGAUAAACAUAUGCAGCCGUUUUGUCAAUACAUUGUUGGAUGAAGCCUCGACAAUGGUGGGCAUGCAUUUGAGAAAUGUUAUUGGAUUUUAAUUUUCAACUUUUUUAAUAUUCCUGAAAUAUAUUUUUUAGAGCCAGAAUGUUUGUUUGCCAGUUUAGCUUUGGACUAAAAACAAGUAUUAAAGUUUGCUUUAAAAAAAAAAGUACGAAUUGCACGUGUUUCUUUGGUUUGUCUCAAGUUUUAAUACAAAAAAUAGUCAAUUUGUCAAUUCACUGUUGGAUAAGGCUGGUGACAGGUUUGACUGACCAUAAUACUUAGUGCUCCAUCAUAGAGGUUUACGUGACAAACUUUCCGAAGUGGCUUUGGCAGGUUUGACAGCACGUUUACAUUCGCGUGAUCCUUGUGGAUAUUAUUUGCCGCGGAAGCCUACGUGUUAAUACUUCGUGCUGUUGGGUGGGUUGGUGAGGAGGGUGACCCACGACCGUGUAAAAUAAAUUUCACUAUCACGGUUCAUCUGCGGAGCUACUCGGGAGGUCGGCGGUGCGGCGAAAUCCAUUGUAGUUUGCU